AUACGUAGGGGGCGAGCGUUGUCCGGAAUGAUUGGGCGUAAAGGGCGCGUAGGCGGCCCGGUAAGUCUGGAGUGAAAGUCCUGUUUUUAAGAUGGGAAUUGCUUUGGAUACUGUCGGGCUUGAGUGCAGGAGAGGUAAGUGGAAUUCCCAGUGUAGCGGUGAAAUGCGUAGAGAUUGGGAAGAACACCAGUGGCGAAGGCGGGUAACUGGACUGCAACUGACGCUGAGGCGCGAAAGUGUGGGGAGCAAACAGGAUUAGAUACCCUGGUAGUCCACACUGUAAACGAUGAAUGCUAGGUGUAGGGGGUAUCGACCCCUUCUGUGCCGCAGUAAACACAAUAAGCAUUCCGCCUGGGGAGUACGGCCGCAAGGUUGAAACUCAAAUGAAUUGGCGGG
rnacentral:rRNA from 1 species